rnacentral:rRNA from 1 species
CAGCAGCCACGGGAAUACGAAGGGUGCAAGCGUUACUCGGAAUUACUGGGCGUAAAGCGUGUGUAGGUGGUUGUUUAAGUCUGUCGUGAAAGCCCUGGGCUCAACCUGGGAAUUGCGAUGGAUACUGGGCGACUAGAGUGCGGUAGAGGAUAGUGGAAUUUCCGGUGUAGCAGUGAAAUGCGUAGAGAUCGGAAGGAACAUCUGUGGCGAAGGCGACUAUCUGGGCCAACACUGACACUGAGACACGAAAGCGUGGGGAGCAAACAGGAUUAGAUACCCCUGUAGUCCCUGUCUCUUAUAC